GACGAACGCUGGCGGCAUGCCUAAUACAUGCAAGUCGAGCGAACAGAUGAAGUGCUUGCACUUCUGACGUUAGCGGCGAACGGGUGAGGAACACGUAAGGAAUCUACCUAUAAGCGGGGGAUAACAUUCGGAAACGGGUGCUAAUACCGCAUAAUAUCUUCUUCCGCAUGAAAGAAGAUUGAAAGACGGCUCUGCUGUCACUUAUAGAUGACCUUGCGGUGCAUUAGUUCGUUGGUGGGGUAACGGCCUACCAAGACGAUGAUGCAUAGCCGGCCUGAGAGGGUGAUCGGCCACAUUGGGACUGAGACACGGCCCAAACUCCUACGGGAGGCAGCAGUAGGGAAUCUUCCGCAAGGGGCGAAAGCCUGACGGAGCAAUGCCGCGUGAGUGAAGAAGGCCUUCGGGUCGUAAAACUCUGUUAUAAGAGAAGAACAAAUUGUAGAGUAACUGCUACAGUCUUGACGGUAUCUUAUCAGAAAGCCACGGCUAACUACGUGCCAGCCGCCGCGGUAA
rnacentral:rRNA from 1 species